AACGAACGCUGGCGGCGUGCUUAAGACAUGCAAGUCGUACGGAAAGGCCCCCUUCGGGGGGUACUCGAGUGGCGCACGGGUGAGUAACGCGUGGGCAAUCUACCUUCGGGUCUGGGACAACCCCGGGAAACUGGGGCUAAUACCGGAUAAGACCACGGGAUCCUCGGAUCCAGCGGAAAAAGGUGGCCUCUCCCUGGAAGCUACCGCCUGUCGAUGAACCCGCGUCCCAUUAGCUUGUUGGUGAGGUAACGGCUCACCAAGGCGACGAUGGGUAGCUGGUCUGAGAGGAUGAUCAGCCACACUGGAACUGAGACACGGUCCAGACUCCUACGGGAGGCGGCAGUCGGGAAUUUUGGGCAAUGGGCGAAAGCCUGACCCAGCAACGCCGCGUGAGGGAUGAAGGCCCUCGGGUCGUAAACCUCUGUCGGGAGGGAAGAACGGUAGCCAUUCGAACAGGUUGGCUGCCUGACGGUACCUCCAAAGGAAGCACCGGCUAACUCCGUG
rnacentral:rRNA from 1 species